rnacentral:piRNA from 1 species
UCUAGACUGUGAAUUCUUUGAAGGUAAGGGC